AACGAACGCUGGCGGCAUGCCUAACACAUGCAAGUCGAACGAGACCUUCGUGUCUAGUUGCGCACGGGGGCGUAACGCGGGGGAACCUGCCCUUAGGUUCCGAAUAACUCCCCUAAAGGGGUGCUAAUACCGGAUAAUGUCUUCGGACCAAAGAUUUAUCGCCAUUGGAUGGGCGCGUGUUGGCUUAGCUGGUUGGUAGUGUAAAAGCCUAUCAAGGCGUCGUUCCUUAGCUGGUCGGGGAGGAGGAUACGCCACGCUGGGACUGCGACACGGCCCAGAAUCGUAGGCGAGGGAGGAGAGGGGAAUACUGGAGGAGGGGGGAAGGCGUGAUACCGCAACGCGGGGUAAGUGAUGAAGGGGUUAGGGAAGUAAAGCUGUUUUAGACGGGGCGAUAAUGACGGUACCGGGAGAAUAAGCACCGGCUAACUACGUG
rnacentral:rRNA from 1 species